UUGGGAGAAGCUAGCACAGGCAGAAAAGGAAAGUAAUCCAACAGGCAGGUGGCGUUCACCCCAUUGCCCUGGAUUUCUGUACAGUUGGCAUGGCUGGGCUUGGUGUAGGAAGCCAGAAGCCCAUCUCUCCAAGCUCUGGGAAGCAUUUGACACGCUGUAUGGAGUGAAGGUUCUAGGAACAAAGCCAUCAGUGGGAAAGGGCCCACAAGAGAAAAAAGAUGGGAGAGAGCUGGCCGAGAGAUAUCAAAGCUAUCAGAGUCCUUCCUUAUCGCUUGGAUAUUUGAAGAAUGUGAGGUACCACUUCUUGCUGCAAACAAGGAAUUCAAGUACACACUGAAUGUACAUGUGGAUGCUUGCAUAGGUUGAUUAGUGAUGGGCCAGAGAGGCAAUGAAAGGAGUCAGAAGAUAGAGGAGAAGAUAAGUUGGCAUUUGGUUUAUCCAGGGAAGAGAAAAUUAUAAGAGAAAAAUGAAUAGAAGUAGGGCUAGGAAAGUAAAAAAGAUGAGCCUGGAGGAUUUUACAUUAUUUAAGUAGGAAGUAGAGAAAAUCCUUGAGAAUGGCUUAGGCCUAAAAAGCUAAGAAAUAAACUGGUCAUUGGGUUUUAGAUAUGAAUUUCUCUAAAAUGUAAACUGAGUGUAGUAUUUUUCAGGAAGUUGGGCUUUCUCACACCAUGCUGUUUGUCCUUUUGUAUAUCAAUGUAUUAUUCACCCAUCACUGCUGCUGUGGAAGUUCUAAGAUGUGGAGAACAAUAGAGUGAUCAAAGCCUUAGCAACAUCUAGGAACCAAGAGAGUAGGCAUUUCUCCCAGAGGUGUUAGUGCCAUUUGUCAUAUCACCAAAUGCAUAUCUGCUGUGAUUCUGGACCAUUCUCCUGCCUUGGCGAGUGGAGUGGUCACCACUGUGUUGAAGAUAUAGUCAUCAAAAGGCAGCUGAAUUGUGCCUUCUUUCAUGUACACCCCUCUGGGCUACUCUGUUCUCAGUCAGAGGGGAGAAAAAGCAUAUCUGAUUUCCAAUAGUAGAAGGAGAUUUAGAAUCUGGGAAGAGAGCAAAUAACCAGCAGCUUGGAAUGCCUGGGAUUACUUUACAUGUUAGUCUCAACCGAUGGACUGUGUGUAGAAAGCUGUCAAGAAUGAAUAUCUUACAGAAUGAAAGCUAAGAGAGUCUAGCUGGUGGAGACAACUGAAAUCCUCUGAAUCGCAGAAGAGAAUCCAGACUUUCUUCCUAAGCUGGAUCAAGCUGGACUGUAUACUUACAAUGUAUACACGUAACUUCCAGACUUACAUGUUGUCAGUAUUCCUGUGAUACUCACACUGUCUGUAGCUGGUCUAAUAGCUCGUGAUUGAGAAGAUAUAAAUAAAGGUAUUAAAAGAAUUUCCAAUGCCCAGUUUAAGGAGUAAACAGAGAACAUCACACACUUUGGUCUGCAGAUAACUUUGUAUUUCAUUCCACCUCCCAGUUGAAUAAUAAUCUGCUUGGGGUUAAGAAUCACGACAACUGAACCAUACUUAGAAAAUUAUAAUCUGAGUCUGAUCUGAGACUAAAAACACUUUUGUUCAAACUCAGCACUUUGUUAUUUAAUUGCAGCAUGCUCUGCAAAUAUACUUAACCUUAAUCUAUAAAAUGUAAAAUUAACACAUUUCAGAGUUGUUCAGGCAAAGCAUGAUGGCAUCUGAGAACACUUUUGUAACUGUUGACUUACGUUUACUCUGCUUUAUGUAUAGAAACUUUAAAAAUUAGUAAGAGUAACUUAACUGUUUGCUUUGUGCUAGGCACUGCACUAAAGAUUUCCUUUACAUCCUCUACUCCUUGGAGUAUCAUUUUGAAGUAGAUAUUUUUUGUCACCAUUUGACAGAUGAGUAAAUUAAGGCUUAAAAAGAUUAAUGAAGGAACCCAAGGCAAUGUAACUACUGCAUGACUUAAAUUUCCAUCUGUCUCUUUAAAGCUUGGACCACCUUGGUCUUUGAACUCUGGCAUCAUAGGGAUGGCUGGUUGGCAUUCUUUAGGACCUCUGGUUAGAUUUAUAAUAAUCUGAGGGAAGAGCAGAAGUGUCAGGUGAGCAGAUCUUUGCUUCUGCAAAAGUCAGAGGCCAAUAUCUUUGGAGACAAAGGGCUUUCAUAGGGGGGUUUAGUUAACUUUGAAUUUCAGAUAAAUAAUACCUUUUUUUUUUUUACUAUAUCUCAUGCAAUAUUUGGAAUAUAUUUAUAAGAAUUAUUUAUUAUAUUUUUAUUUGUUAAAUCUGGCAAUGCCAAUAUAGGAAAGCAUCAGCCCCAGAAUGAGUUAGAAUUUUCCAGAACCCCUCUCAGGGCUUGGCUGGAAUCUGAGCAGUGAUUCUGGAAGUAGGAGAGAUGAAGGUCAGUGAGGCACAGUGACAAAGGUCAGUCGGACAAGCCCGCACUGGGAUUCAGGACAUCCAUAUUCCAAGCUUCGCCACACCCUGUCUGGAUGGGCUACCAUCUUCCCCUGCCUGGGCUUUAGAGCAGAAUUGGUCAGAGUCAUUGCAGCAUAAAUGGGUGUCAUCUUCACGAACCAAAGGUUUGGGCAGAGAAGUGGCCAUGAAACAGGGUAAUGUCUUAACUUACAACUAUCUAUAAGAGCAGGGGAUGUGAAGAUAAUUUACAUGUAAAAACUGAAAACCAAUUCAUCCAGAGCUAAUUUCAGCUCAGACCAGCAGGAAAAUUGCUGUUCAAAUUGAUAUUUCUAUUGCCAGGUUUAUUGACAAACAUGAAAUAAAAAGGCCUCUUUGUAUCACGAAUUUGUUAUAUGCUUAAAAAAAUAGAAAAGGGGGUUUAUAUUCCCCAGUUGGUGGCAUACUGAAUUUUGACAGACUUUUUUUUUUAUAAGUGUGAAAAUGCUGAUGGUUGUUGAGCUGGGAUACAGCCCCAUUCCAUGAAGAGCAACAUGACUCUGGGUCUUUGGAUAGAAACUUUCAUCAGUGCACGCUUCGGUGAAUUCUCCCUCCUCCCAGGAGGCCUGUCCUCAUUUCAAAGCUGGGGAAAGCAGGAGCCAGAUAAGGGAAGUAAGUGACUUUCCCAAGGUCACAGACGGACAAACGUGCUAGCUGCUGGGCAGAGCAGAGCUCAAAUCCUCUGUAGCUGGGCCUAGACCGUCAUCCCCUACCAUCCCCCAGACCUCUCCUGCAACGUAUCCAGGGAAGCCCAAGAUGCCUAGACCACCCCCUCAAAACAGUGGGAACUUUCCACCUCUCCUCAUCAGUUUACAACCACCUUAUGGCUUGAAAGCCUGCUCCUCCUCUCCGUGGCUCUGUUGUCUCCCAGCCCUUUCUCACCGGUGUUUGCAAUCCUCAGCUUCACUCAGUCUGAAAUAUGUAGGGAUCAUAACUUGUGGGUUCGUACAAGAAGCCAGCAGCCCUUCCAUAAUUGCCACUGACGUGGAAAUACAGGAGCAAAUGAGUAGCAAUUCAUGUGUCGCCGCAUGACAGAACAAAAACCUCUACCGAGGAAUUAAAGCCAUAAAUAUCCUGCAGGGCUCCUACCUGUGAGCUUGUUCCUGACAUCUGGAAUGGCAGCUCACUGGAGCCACUCUGCUGUCAGCAUCCUGCUGCACGCUGGCUGCAAUGAAGCUGUGAGAGCAGAAGGGACAAGAAGGGGAAGUCUGGGGAGUCAGGCCUGGGGUGGGGGGACUUCCAAGGGAAACCUGGUGACAGACAGGUUACUUUCCCUUAUCAUGACCACAGCAACUAAGAGGCCCAGACUCACUCACUCCCACUUGGAGCCUCCCCGAAACCCUGCCUGCCACCAGACUUCCUGUCCUUGCAAGACGCAUAACAGCUCUGUGGCUGAUCUCCCAUCUGGUUGACAGGAAUGACAGCUCAGAGCUGUGUUCCUGGAGGGGAAAGUGCUGUGGGCAGAGAAGAGGAAAGAAACUGCACCUUCGGGUUGCCCACACGGUCGUGGCAGCCUCUAACAGGCUGCAGAGAUGAGGGAAGCAGGCAAGAAGCUCAGAAGAAAGCCAAUUGAUGACCCCUAGAAGGAACCAGCAUGAGGUUGCCUUCUAAUGGACAUGUCUCAUCAUUUCACUGAAGAUUUAUGGAAUGCUUCCCCCUUUAAAAGUGUUAAGUACUUGCUGUCAGCAUCACCAUCGCAGCCUGCGAAGUCGCCACUAAAGAGAGAGAAGUGGAAA